rnacentral:rRNA from 1 species
UACGGAGGGUGCAAACGUUGCUCGGAAUCAUUGGGCGUAAAGCGCACGUAGGCGGCCUGUUAAGUCGGGUGUGAAAUCCCUGGGCUCAACCCAGGAAGUGCAUUCGAAACUGGCAGGCUUGAAUAUGGAAGAGGGUCGCGGAAUUCCCGGUGUAGGAGGUGAAAUUCGUAGAUAUCGGGAGGAACACCAGUGGCGAAGGCGGCGACCUGGGCCAAU